CAGAAGGGGAUAACACUUGGAAACAGGUGCUAAUACCGUAUAACACUAUUUUCCGCAUGGAAGAAAGUUGAAAGGCGCUUUUGCGUCACUGAUGGAUGGACCCGCGGUGCAUUAGCUAGUUGGUGAGGUAACGGCUCACCAAGGCCACGAUGCAUAGCCGACCUGAGAGGGUGAUCGGCCACACUGGGACUGAGACACGGCCCAGACUCCUACGGGAGGCAGCAGUAGGGAAUCUUCGGCAAUGGACGAAAGUCUGACCGAGCAACGCCGCGUGAGUGAAGAAGGUUUUCGGAUCGUAAAACUCUGUUGUUAGAGAAGAACAAGGAUGAGAGUAGAACGUUCAUCCCUUGACGGUAUCUAACCAGAAAGCCACGGCUAACUACGUGCCAGCAGCCGCGGUAAUACGUAGGUGGCAAGCGUUGUCCGGAUUUAUUGGGCGUAAAGCGAGCGCAGGCGGUUUCUUAAGUCUGAUGUGAAAGCCCCCGGCUCAACCGGGGAGGGUCAUUGGAAACUGGGAGACUUGAGUGCAGAAGAGGAGAGUGGAAUUCCAUGUGUAGCGGUGAAAUGCGUAGAUAUAUGGAGGAACACCAGUGGCGAAGGCGGCUCUCUGGUCUGUAACUGACGCUGAGGCUCGAAAGCGUGGGGAGCGAACAGGAUUAGAUACCCUGGUAGUCCACGCCGUAAACGAUGAGUACUAAGUGUUGGAGGGUUUCCGCCCUUCAGUGCUGCAG
rnacentral:rRNA from 1 species